UUCCUGCCAGCGGCUCCCGGCGGCCAUGCGGAUGAGGUCACUCGGGGCUACUGUCCUUCCGGGGGCGGCACCCAGGCCCGCAGAGUCCGCCUGAGAGUGUGGACCAAAUCGGGGCUCUCUGAAGCCCAGAUUUAGGGGAGGACAGGGUGGUGUGGGAGGCAGGCAUGGGGGCGUUAGGGGGGCCUCCAAGACACUUCUCCUGAGCGUGGAGGCAGAAUUUCUCCUGCCCAGUUUGGAUCCUUAUCGAAAGCCCCACAUGAGACUAGCAGUGAACCAGGACCGCUCACCGAGUUUCUCAGAGCACCCCCAUAUGGCAGGCAUUAUCGGCUUACACUAUAGACGACCCCUGUGAAAGGAUCCUUCUACCCCCAAAGGGGUCUUGACCCACAGGUUGAGAACCACUGCCAUAGGGUCUUAAAGCAGAAAAGUGAAAGGAUCUGGAAUUAUCCAGCCGAAGAGGAUGGCACAGAAAGCAAACCAACAUUUGAUGGUGCAGGACUCAGAAGGUGACCAGCAGUGUUCUGUUCUAAGGGUGGCCCUUUCCACAUUUCUACUCAUGGCUGUGACCCUGGGCAGGUCCUGGCGGAAACAGCAGGAUAGAGAUGGUGCACGGGAGCCAGAAUCCAGGACAGGCCCACGGUUUUUCCCAGGCCUCCCUCCGAUUCCAGGUAGAACUGGAGACGGGUCUGUCAACCUGGGGGGAUGCCGGUCUUGCUGGGACUCUUGGAGACAUAUCCCCCACCUCCUUCCCGGGCAAUAUCUUUGUGCUGAGCUGACAAAACCAGGGUCCUGGGCUCCUCAGGACAUUGGGGGGAUAUGUUCCUGCUUGUCUGGAGCUGCAGUAGAGAAGCUGGCUCAGAGAUCUGACUCCAGGGACCAAAGGACCUGCCAGCCUCAAAUAGAAAUGGCUUUUAACUUCCUUUGGAUAUUUUCUUUACAGUAUUGUAACAUGUCCAGAUUGAGGCUACCCUCAGGGUUUUCAUGGCUUAAUUGGGGCCAUUAACUAAGACUGAUGCAAUUCUUUCUUUCCAGGGCUCUUAACUGAGAUUGCGAGAGCCAAGUGGACCGCUGUAAAGGCGGAGAUGAUUGCAUGAAAGUCGCUUUAUGGCUCUGGUCUCAGCUCUUCUGGAGCCAGGCGUGGCCCCUGAGGAGGCUGGGGUGGGGGGUAGGGGGGGCAAGCUUUCGCCUGAGUCCCUGUAACCUAGGUUGGCUGGUACCUCUUCUAGGCCACAAGAUUAGUUUGCAAACCCACAUCACCUUCUUCCCUGUGGAUUAGAUGUGUAGCAAGACAUGUAACCUCAUUUCUGUCUGGUGAGACCCUUCUUCACUUUAACAGAAGACCAGUCUUUAAGGUACCACCCUUUCUCACCUACGUGAGAUGAACAAGAUUUUAGAGAUUUAUCAGAAGAGAC